rnacentral:rRNA from 1 species
ACUCCUACGGGAGGCAGCAGUGGGGAAUUGUUCACAAUGGGCGCAAGCCUGACGACGCAACGCCGCGUGGAGGAUGAAGAUUUUCGGAUCGUAAACUCCUGUCGAAUGGGACGAAAGAGUUGCGGGUUAACAGCCCGUGACUGUGACGGUACCGUUAAAGGAAACCCCGGCUAACUCCGUGCCAGCAGCCGCGGUAAUACGGGGGGGGUAAGCGUUGUUCGGAAUUACUGGGCGUAAAGGGCUCGUAGGCGGCCAACUAAGUCGGACGUGAAAUCCCUCAGCUUAACUGGGGAACUGCGUCUGAUACUGGAUGGCUUGGAUUUGGGAGAGGAAUGCGGAAUUCCAGGUGUAGCGGUGAAAUGCGUAGAUAUCUGGAGGAACACCGGUGGCGAAGGCGGCAUUCUGGACCAAUAUUGACGCUGAGGAGCGAAAGCCAGGGGAGCAAACGGGAUUAGAUACCCCGGUAGUCCUGGCCCUAAACGAUGAAUGCUUGGUGUGGCGGGUAUCGAUCCCUGCCGUGCCGAAGCUAACGCAUUAAGCAUUCCGCCUGGGGAG